UUCUGGGUAAUCAUGUCUUUAAAGUAAGCUCCUGAGGCUUAUUAUGAAACAAAUUGCAUCUUACUCACGUCCUUGGAGAGACGGUUUAGAUGGAUGGGUGUUGGGAGUGGAAGCUUCCAGAAGCCGAUCUUGUUUCCAAGGAAAAGAAUAUGCUUUCACUUUUUCAUGGUAUACAGUGGAUUGUUUCUAUGCCCAUUCCUGAGUCUUCCACAGGAACACAUAAUGGCUAUCUGCUGCCACAACGGUGAAGGAAUUUUCCACUCUGAUAACUGUGAUGCUGUCUCAUCUUUAUGAGGUGCAGAGGGAACGAGUGUUUGCCUGGAAUUAGCAACUGUUAACCCAUCUUCUCCUGGGAGCUUAAGACUCAACAGCAGCCGUUAGCUGACAUUUACCGAACCCCUCCUGUGUGUGUGCAGCGCUGUUCUAGAACCUAGAGCUUCAGGGCUGUGGAAGUCACAGUUAUGUAGUCACGGUCACUGGAGUGGCCCCUGGGGAAGGUGGCAGGGACCAGGGCCAGGAGCAAGGCUGAGUCAGGGUCUCAGCAAGAGAGGGGUGCACGCUCCCAACUGUGUGGUGUAAGAAGCACUUAAUAAAGGGACUGUCUACACAGACUGAGGCAGUGUCUGGGCGAAGCAAUAAGUACAUCUAGAACAGUGACAGUGGCAACCAUUAACACCCCCAGGCCUGACGGGACAAGAAGAGAAAGUGCCACCAGAACCGAGAAAGGUAACUGCGUGGAGAGGAAUACCAAGGGGACCUGUGGCCUGUUUUACAGUGACAACCAUCCCAUGGACAUGCAGAGGGGAGGGAGGUGGGGGAAAUACCCCAAACUCUUUCUCUCCCACCCUCAAUCUUCUUUGGUGCCCUUACUGGCCAAGCCCAACAGGAAACUGGAAGGCAGAGAGCCCAUCGCUGCAGACCCCAUGGUCAGCCUCCCAGGACACGGAGCAGGCUGAUGGGGAUGUGGACCUAGACAGACCAGUGAAAGGGAUCCAACACGUUGUCUAGCAUCUGUGAUGUUUGACUUUGUACAAGGAAAAUGCAUUCAAGUGAAGAAGGUGAAGGACGCGAGGGAGAAAGAGGAAAAAGGAAGAAAAGGCAGGAAGAGGUGAAGAAAGGUAAGUCAACAGGCAAUGAAGUUCAGAGGAGGUGUGUCCUUGAGUAAACACCAGUUGCUAUGGGAACACCAGGAGGAGUCCCUACCUUGGACUUGGGGAGUCAGGGAGGGCCUCCUGAGGAAGGAACCCCUGGAUUGACGCUUGAAAAGCUGGUAAGAAUUUGCCAGGUCAGAAGGUAGAGAAUGGCACUGACAGAGGUCCACGAGUGAACCAAGGUUCUUGGAGGUCAAAGCUAAGUUUAGGGAGAAGCAAGGAGUAAGACUAGUGGAGGAAACAGAGCAUCCGAGAGACCGUUGGAUGUAACAACAAGGAGCUUCAUGCUAAAGCAAAUGGGAGACGUGGAAAUGAGGGACAAGAGUAAAUCGGCACUUUCAUUUUUUUCCUCCAGCUUUACUCCCAGGAAGUACAUUUAAUGCUGCCAACCUUUUGGCAAACACAUCCCUGUUUGUCCCUGUACUUGACAAAAGGAAAGUAUGCGUGGGAGAUUGGUUUGUCUGUUUAAUCCAUGGCCAAGAUCCAAAGGGCCCAGGAAAACAACACAGGUGGUUCUUUGGUUGGCUGAAUGUUUCCAUGAGAAAAGAAACUGCUGUCUACUAUCCACGGCACACCUGAGUAGAGAUACCAACAUUUCGAAAGGCAAUCCGACACACCUUUGGCAUUUAAGAACCGAAGUCUUCAGCCUCGGCAUGGUGAGUCGAGCCCAGAUUAAUGACCUUUCAGACUAUAGGCUCAAGGAAUUCGAAAUAGGUCAGUCUUGCAAAGAAUUUUAAGAAAUCGUUGAACCACAGCAAAUCAGACUUCUCAUUGGUUCCAUCCACCCUUAAGCAAGUGGCCCUCCCCAUAUCCUCAGAGACUCCAUUUCCUCUGCUCCCUCCACUUGGAGGUUGGGAGAACAAACAUAGACUGCCUGCAAAGGCACUACCUUUGGUGCAAAACAAAGGAUGUGCAUAAAUAGAAGCCUGGUAACUCCUCAUUGGGUUCAUCAUUUCCAGGCCACCAGUUCACGGAGGAGGGCCAAUUUUCAUAACUCAUUAACUUGGAACUGCUUGGUCAAGGUCAACAAGGACAAGACUUCAAAGGCUGGUAAAGCAAGGAAGGAACCCGGGCCCCUGGGUGGCAUCAUGGAACAGAUUUGCCUCUGUCCGUGGACCACCUACCCACCUUCACACUAUUGGACAGGAGACAAGUUUCAAAUAUUUUGGAGGCCCCUAAAAGGUGUAUAGGCUGUAGGCACUGGGCAUAGAGUGCCUAAUGCAUGCCGUAGACCAGAAUGUGUGAGGGACAAGGAUGCCCCCCCACCCCCCCCGCCCCCCCUCCCAUCUUGCCGACACAGAGCCCUCGGCACAAGACAGCAGACACUGAGCACUUCUCACAGCCCCGGAACCCUAAUCAUACUCUGUCCGUGUGCCCUGCCCCCAUCCUUCCUGGCCCCCCAGUUUCUGCCAUUGGGCUUUUGGGGCUGUUUUUGCCACAUGCAAGAGAACUAGGUCCUGGGAGUUUAUGCCCUUUCUACCUGGCUCUUAGCCAGCGACCAACUGGAAAGGAAUACAAAGGCCCAAGCCUUUUGCCACCAGUUGGGAAAGGCUCUGAGGUGUGGUUUCCACUCCAGAGCCUCCUUCCCCCAUCAGGCAGAUCAGGAGGAGGCUGGGAUUUGCCUGAGGUCACACAUUGCUUGCCUUCUUUCUCUUCCCUGUCCUGCUCCCCUCCCCUGCUCCCCUGGGAUCCUUUUAUCCCAUUCUUCUGGGAACAUAUUCUCAAUA